AUGAACGCUAGCUACAGGCUUAACACAUGCAAGUCGAGGGGCAGCAUGGUCUUAGCUUGCUAAGGCCGAUGGCGACCGGCGCACGGGUGAGUAACACGUAUCCAACCUGCCGUCUACUCUUGGACAGCCUUCUGAAAGGAAGAUUAAUACAAGAUGGCAUCAUGAGUCCACAUGUUCACAUGAUUAAAGGUAUUCCGGUAGACGAUGGGGAUGCGUUCCAUUAGAUAGUAGGCGGGGUAACGGCCCACCUAGUCUUCGAUGGAUAGGGGUUCUGAGAGGAAGGUCCCCCACAUUGGAACUGAGACACGGUCCAAACUCCUACGGGAGGCAGCAGUGAGGAAUAUUGGUCAAUGGGCGAGAGCCUGAACCAGCCAAGUAGCGUGAAGGAUGACUGCCCUAUGGGUUGUAAACUUCUUUUAUAAAGGAAUAAAGUCGGGUAUGGAUACCCGUUUGCAUGUACUUUAUGAAUAAGGAUCGGCUAACUCCGUGCCAGCAGCCGCGGUAAUACGGAGGAUCCGAGCGUUAUCCGGAUUUAUUGGGUUUAAAGGGAGCGUAGAUGGAUGUUUAAGUCAGUUGUGAAAGUUUGCGGCUCAACCGUAAAAUUGCAGUUGAUACUGGAUAUCUUGAGUGCAGUUGAGGCAGGCGGAAUUCGUGGUGUAGCGGUGAAAUGCUUAGAUAUCACGAAGAACUCCGAUUGCGAAGGCAGCCUGCUAAGCUGCAACUGACAUUGAGGCUCGAAAGUGUGGGUAUCAAACAGGAUUAGAUACCCUGGUAGUCCACACGGUAAACGAUGAAUACUCGCUGUUUGCGAUAUACUGCAAGCGGCCAAGCGAAAGCGUUAAGUAUUCCACCUGGGGAGUACGCCGGCAACGGUGAAACUCAAAGGAAUUGACGGGGGCCCGCACAAGCGGAGGAACAUGUGGUUUAAUUCGAUGAUACGCGAGGAACCUUACCCGGGCUUAAAUUGCAGAUGAAUUACGGUGAAAGCCGUAAGCCGCAAGGCAUCUGUGAAGGUGCUGCAUGGUUGUCGUCAGCUCGUGCCGUGAGGUGUCGGCUUAAGUGCCAUAACGAGCGCAACCCUUGUUGUCAGUUACUAACAGGUUCUGCUGAGGACUCUGACAAGACUGCCAUCGUAAGAUGUGAGGAAGGUGGGGAUGACGUCAAAUCAGCACGGCCCUUACGUCCGGGGCUACACACGUGUUACAAUGGGGGGUACAGAGGGCCGCUACCACGCGAGUGGAUGCCAAUCCCCAAAACCUCUCUCAGUUCGGACUGGAGUCUGCAACCCGACUCCACGAAGCUGGAUUCGCUAGUAAUCGCGCAUCAGCCACGGCGCGGUGAAUACGUUCCCGGGCCUUGUACACACCGCCCGUCAAGCCAUGGGAGCCGGGGGUACCUGAAGUGCGUAACCGCGAGGAGCGCCCUAGGGUAAAACUGGUGACUGGGGCU
rnacentral:rRNA from 1 species